UGGGGAAUCUUGCACAAUGGGGGCAACCCUGAUGCAGCGACGCCGCGUGAGCGAUGAAGCACUUCGGGGUGUAAAGCUCUUUCGGCAGGGACGAACGUGACGGUACCUGCAGAAGCAGCUGCGGCUAACUACGUGCCAGCAGCCGCGGUAAUACGUAGGCAGCGAGCGUUGUUCGGAGUUACUGGGCGUACAGGGAGUGUAGGCGGUUCUCUAAGUUGGGUGUGAAAUCUCCCGGCUUAACCGGGAGGGUGCGCCGAAAACUGGGGAGCUAGAGUGCGGGAAGGGAGAGUGGAAUUCCUGGUGUAGCGGUGAAAUGCGUAGAUAUCAGGAGGAACACCGGUGGUGUAGACGGCUCUCUGGACCGUAACUGACGCUGAGACACGAAAGCGUGGGUAGCAAACA
rnacentral:rRNA from 1 species